CUAGUCCGGGCCUUGGGGGAGUCCCCGGAGUCCCCGUGGCUUUCCAGCUCCAGGCUCGGGAGAGGGUGACCUUGGAGCCGGGAUUUCACUUCUACAGCGCUGUGGUGCCGGGGGGACAGGGAGAAGGGCUCCCUGGCCCCCAGUUCACGAGGAGAAGGGGCCUUGACCGGUCAGGACCACCACCCUACGACGCCGCUCAGCUCUGGGCGAUUCUCUCCUCCCUUGCUGAAGCAGGCAUUGAGAGCCUGCGUUCCUCCCGCUCUGUUUCCGUUUAGGUAAAAUGGAUAGAAUAAUAGUACUUACCUCAAAGGAUUGUUGAAGAGAAUCAACAAGAUGAUAUCCCUGAAGCACUGGGAAUAGUGUCUGGCACACAGCACUCUCCCAGGAGCACACCGCGGCGCUAGAGAAGACCAGGAAAAAGGACCUGAGCCAGCUUGCCGUCUUAACAAAAAUUUCAAACUUUGCAAAGCGGUAUACCUUCUUAUUCUCCAGUUCAGUAUUGCCAGUGAAGUCAUACUGAACGCAGACAAGGAAAAGAAAGAAAAAGAAACUCAAUGAGAUAUGUUGUCAUCUUCCCUGUUUUAUGGAUGAAGUUCUAAGUAGAGGUUCGGAGAAGGUCUUCCAAAUUAUGAAAAUUGGCAAUUGGGCGAUGUUCACAGUGUCCCGUCUACUGCCUGGGGCCCCUGUCAUGCAGCAGCUGCAGAUACCACGUCCUUGGGUUGGAGCCCCUUCUCUACUCACGUUGGACAUAGAAUCACUUUUCCAAUCAGAAGUAAUAUGAAACAAAAUUGGACUUUUUCAUCAACUGGAGAAAUUGAAACAUGUUUAUUUAAUUGUUAUGGCAUGCAAGAUAUUUUCUCAAGACUUCCAGUUAGAAGGGAAUCAGAAAUUUUGACCCUUUUUUGAAAUUCUUGAAAAAGCCCUCAAAUUGUAGGAAAAUGAAAGUGGUAAGUAAAUGCCCAUUAAGUAAUCAUGAAGUGAGAGUUUCUAGAAAGUGAAGAAUCUGGGUAAAACAAAGUUGUUCUUAAUAACAGAGAUUAGAGGCCACAUGGCAAUGAUAGUAAUAAAGCAGCAAGAAUAAUGCUGCCCCAGACACUCUCCGGCGGCUUCAGACAGGUGGACUGAUCUGAGCACUGAGAACAUUUAAGUGUGGGAAACAUUUUACUCCAGCUUUAACUUCUUAAUACAAGCUCCAGUUCCACGUGUCCCACUCAUGCCAACUGCCAGCACCACCAAAGCCCUUAAAAGUUUCCUUGUCUUAAUGGCUUCCACUCUCCCCUCCUCUCAGGCACCCAUCAUCCCUGACUCAAACCUGUAGACAAGCCAGACCAAGUUACGUCUCUUCAGAAAAGGAGCAGCUUGAACCAUUCUACCCACUUCCAGCCUGGCUUCUAAAUCUGGGGUCUCUUUGAUAAUACUCUCAGCCCAGUGGAGAGGAAAGUCUACUGGGGACAGCUAAAAUUUGGCCUACCCUUCCUAGCACAGCCAGUCC